rnacentral:rRNA from 1 species
GACGAACGCUGGCGGCGUGCUUAACACAUGCAAGUCGAACGGAAAGGCCCCUUUGGGGGUACUCGAGUGGCGAACGGGUGAGUAACACGUGAGUAACCUUCCCUUGACUUCGGGAUAACUUCAGGAAACUGGGGCUAAUACCGGAUAGGAAUCCUUGCUGCAUGGUGGGGGUUGGAAAGCUUCGGCGGUUUUGGAUGGACUCGCGGCUUAUCAGCUUGUUGGUGGGGUAGUGGCUUACCAAGGCUUUGACGGGUAGCCGGCCUGCGAGGGCGACCGGCCACAUUGGGACUGAGAUACGGCCCAGACUCCUACGGGAGGCAGCAGUGGGGAAUAUUGCACAAUGGGCGGAAGCCUGAUGCAGCAACGCCGCGUGCGGGAUGACGGCCUUCGGGUUGUAAACCGCUUUCAGCAGGGGCGAAGCUUGUGGUGACGGUACCUGCAGAAGAAGCACCGGCUAACUACGUG